GGAGAAGGAGAAAGAGAAAGAAAAAGAAUGAGAAAGAGAGCAAGAGAAGAAGAAGGAAGAGAGCUAGGUCUUUAUCCUUUGAGGAGUAGAACCAAGAAGUGAUGAGAUAACGCGGCCUGAGGACAUCAACCGUCUUUCAUCACCUAGGACUAGAGGUUAGCACUGUUGCUGACUUUGUUGAAAUUGAAGGUAACUACAUCCUUCCCUCGAGCCAAGAUAAUUCAAGAAUAAUUUUGGAAAAGUAAUGGUUAUUAGAAACUCCAUAUUGACGGCUGCUCCUUUGGGGAAUCCAAGACAUUCGGGUGCGGGUGGUAUUGUUAGAGGAGAAAAGGGAAAUUGCCUUGUAUGUUUUGCUAUAUAUGAAGGUAUUGAAUCCAACUUCAUGGUGGAGUUUGCUGCAUUUUUUCAUGGGCUCAAGUAUGCGUCAACAAAAAGAAUCGAUAAAUUGUGGAUUGAGUGUGAUUCUCAAUCAAUGGUAUCCUACAUAAAAAAUCAACAAAUUCCUUGAUGUUUUUCAGCAAAGUGGCUAUAAUAUGAGAUGUACUUGGAAGGCACCACAUGGAUGAUAACACAUUGUUACAAAGAGGUGAACAAUAUAGUAGAUAAACUAGCGAAACUUGCUGCAGUCACUCGCAUUUCUUCAAAUUGGGAUGAUGCUCCAAACUCAGUUUAUUUGCUCUUAAUUGGGAUUGUCCUAAUAGACCUAGAUUUUGUUUUUUGUAA